rnacentral:lncRNA from 1 species
CAACCAUGAAGAAGGCCACGCACCAACGCCAGCCGUUGAAGGCCUCCUCGGGUGUUCCGGUGUCCUUGUCGACGCCGGAGCCGUCGGCGUACACCUUGAGGGUCUGGUGCUCGGCGCCCCACACGCCGUAACUGUAGACGAGAUCAUUGUGGGAGAACGCGAUGCCGAAGAGGGAGAAGAACGCGACGAUGAUGGAGAAGACGGUGACCUCCUCGAACUUGCGGUCGAUGGCCCACGCGGUGAGCGCGGCGAGGAUGAUACCCUGGACGAUGCCGCCGGAGGGUCCGAGCGAGAGAACGCC